UCCAUAUAUUGAAAAUAUAGGAUUGGAAGAAGCAAAUCCUAAAGAACGAUGUAAAAUAUGACACAGUGCAAAAUGAACUUUUAUAGCAAACACAUGCAACGUGAAUAAAUGCACAAAAAAAUUGUAUGCGCAAAAAACGGAUUCAGCGGAACGUCGUCUAGCUGCAGCGUAGACCGCCAGCUUGGAAGGCGAUGGCAGGCUGGAGUCGCGCGGCCUGACGAGAGACUCACGAGAUUCAGCCGCCGGCAGGGAAGCGGAUGUUGGCACUGAUGGUAACUUACGGACAGUGUCGUACGGCGAGGGGGAACUACGAGAUGCUGUUGAUGCGAUGGAACCAGACCCGUCGGAGUCCUUAACGAAUAUUUAAUAAGGAUAUUACACACCAAAUAUAACGUAAUGUAGAUUAACAAAUGUACAAAAUGAGAAGCAGAUAUUUUAAAUUACAUUUAAUUCUUUUCCUUAAAAAAUAUAAGUAUAUAAAUCAUUAAAACACCUUUAGUGUAAACAAGGUUUAUUUAUUUAUAUAUAUCGGUCCGUUUAGUUUUGUCUACGGUUAAGUAAUAUAAAUUGCUUACUUUCCGAGCGUCCCUGUGUUCCAUUCUCUCGUAUCUAGUGUUUCUGGCGGAAGGUUUCCGUGGUGGUCGAGGGAGAGCUGAGGGUGGCGGCGGAAGGCUGGACGAACGUGUCUGUUGGGAGGCGCGACCUUGACGCUCCAGGAGUAAAGCUUCCUCGCCUCGACCGCGGACACCGGCGGCGCUCAGACCAGGGAAACAGCAUAACCCUCGCUAACACAUAAAAUUAACAAUCUAACGAAUGGCUAAUAAAAGGGGUUGUGUUUUAAUUCAUAUCUAUUUAUCGACUUCAAAUUAAUUGCUCCCCUACAUUUAUUUCUCGCAUCGUAAACACGUAUUGAUAAUAUAUGUACGUGAAUACUCUAUAAUGCUUUGCUUCUGUAUGCAUUUGCAUGCAUCUAAUUGAAGUAGAAAUGUUCAGAAAGUGUUAAGGAAUCCGCACUUUGUUAUUGAGUUAAUGAACCAGCACAAUUGAACAAUACAAACAAACUGAAUGAUUUCUUAGCUUACCUUGUUCCGAAAACAGCUCUCGUGAAAGCAUCGUCCGUCUUAACGUGAGCUAUCAAUGUGCACAAUUCCUUGUCUAAUCUCAAUUAUUUCAGAUUUAAUAUCUAUACUAGAAGUACAUACACAUUACAUAUAAUUUUUAAUUUAACUUAUUUUAAGUCGUCUCAGUUAAUUUCUUGCCACCGAGAAACGAAGUCGUUUUAAUUACGGUUAUUCUGCAGGCUUUUUGAGUUUGGAAUAUGUAAUAACAAGAGGUCUUGUCAUGUAACUACAUGAAUCAUUUCAUCAAACUCUAUACCUGACUGUAGACUGAAAAAUUGUCGAUAUUUAAUUGAUUUCAAAUAUUACCCGAAAUUAAGUUAUUCUUGAAGUACAACACACUUUUGAGUCUCCUUACAAUCCUAUCUCAGACAGACAUUAAUUAGGUGAUUUUUAUAAAAAUGUAUAUUUGUACGUUUUUUCUUAACUAUUAUAUUAUUUUAAAUUCCAUUGUCGUAGCUAUAUUCACUUAAAGAAAAUUCGCACACUGAUCAAAAAUAAAACUCAGCCAACACACUACACUCAAAAUUAAAAAAAAACGUGUUAUUUGAAGCUCAAAACAUUAUCAAUCAUAUUGGAAUCACGAAAUACCAGCCGCGUCUCUUUAAAGGCUACAAAUAUUCCUUGAUCCCAAUAAAUAAACAAAUCAAAGUUAAUAUAUCAACUCCAAGCCUCUAGUAUUAGGAACAAUUAAAACCACAACAAACAAAACAUUGUUUAUUACUGACAUUCCAUUUUUAAAUAUGCCGAUUACAAAACCCAAUACAAAAUAUAUUGCUAACACUUAAGAGCCUCGCUGUGAAGCUGCCGAGAGGAAUAUCAUCAAUACAUUGACUUAUUUUAAUAUACAAAAAUACGAGUCAGACGUCUGAAGUACAUUCUUAGUUUAUAAUAAAUAAGAAUACAUUUUUACCAAUAUAUAUACUACAGUAAGAUUAUCUCGAGACUAUCUUUAUACUAGCUUUGGCUUAAUUUGUGACCGACUCGAUACAACACAACAAUUAAAAACAUUACAACACAACAAAGUUUCCAAUCAUUUGGUUAAUAAAACGUUCUGUUCACGAAAUCUAUUCUCAGAGAUUCUUAUAAAAAUAUAUUGGCACCUACAGUUUGUAUAUAUUAUAACAAUAUCAAGGCCACCGUUUAAGGCAAGUCAUUUUCCAGUCACACAUUAAUAACAUAGUACAUACUGUCUAUGAGAUGCAAUACUCGUCAUAUAUUAGACAAAA